GACGUAGGGCGCGAGCGUUGUCCGGAUUUAUUGGGCGUAAAGAGCUCGUAGGCGGCUUGUUGCGUCGUCCGUGAAAACCUGGGGCUCAACUCCAGGCUUGCGGUCGAUACGGGCAGGCUAGAGUUCGGUAGGGGAGACUGGAAUUCCAGGUGUAGCGGUGAAAUGCGUAGAUAUCUGGAGGAACACCGGUGGCGAAGGCGGCAUCCUGGACCGGUAUUGACGCUGAGGCGCGAAAGCUAGGGGAGCAAACGGG
rnacentral:rRNA from 1 species